rnacentral:rRNA from 1 species
AAAACGACUCUCGGCAACGGAUAUCUCGGCUCUCGCAUCGAUGAAGAACGUAGCGAAAUGCGAUACUUGGUGUGAAUUGCAGAAUCCCGUGAACCAUCGAGUUUUUGAACGCUAGUUGCGCCCCAAGCCUUCUGGCCGAGGGCACGUCUGCCUGGGUGUCACAA